rnacentral:rRNA from 1 species
GAUGAACGCUGACAGAAUGCUUAACACAUGCAAGUCUACUUGAAUUUGGGUUUUUUAACUUAGAUUUGGGUGGCGGACGGGUGAGUAACGCGUAAAGAACUUGCCUCACAGUUAGGGACAACAUUUGGAAACGAAUGCUAAUACCUGAUAUUAUGAAUAUAUGGCAUCAUAUAAUUAUGAAAGCUAUAAGCGCUGUGAGAGAGCUUUGCGUCCCAUUAGCUAGUUGGAGAGGUAACGGCUCACCAAGGCGAUGAUGGGUAGCCGGCCUGAGAGGGUGAACGGCCACAAGGGGACUGAGACACGGCCCUUACUCCUACGAGAGGCAGCAGUGGGGAAUAUUGGACAAUGGACCAAGAGUCUGAUCCAGCAAUUCUGUGUGCACGAUGACGUUUUUCGGAAUGUAAAGUGCUUUCAGUUGGGAAGAAAAAAAUGACGGUACCAACAGAAGAAGUGACGGCUAAAUACGUG